AGAGUUUGCUUCUGGCUCAGAUUGAACGCUGGCGGAAUGCUUUACACAUGCAAGUCGAACGAUGAACCUUAGCUUGCUAAGGGGAUUAGUGGCGAACGGGUGAGUAAUAUAUCGGAACGUGCCUUGUAAUGGGGGAUAACUAGUCGAAAGAUUAGCUAAUACCGCAUACGCCCUGAGGGGGAAAGUAGGGGAUCUUCGGACCUUACGUUAUAAGAGCAGCCGAUAUCUGAUUAGCUAGUUGGUGGGGUAAUGGCCUACCAAGGCGACGAUCAGUAGCUGGUCUGAGAGGACGACCAGCCACACUGGAACUGAGACACGGUCCAGACUCCUACGGGAGGCAGCAGUGGGGAAUUUUGGACAAUGGGCGCAAGCCUGAUCCAGCCAUUCCGCGUGAGUGAAGAAGGCCUUCGGGUUGUAAAGCUCUUUCGCAAGGGAAGAAAACUUACUUUCUAAUAAAGAGUGAGGCUGACGGUACCUUGAUAAGAAGCACCGGCUAACUACGUGCCAGCAGCCGCGGUAAUACGUAGGGUGCGAGCGUUAAUCGGAAUUACUGGGCGUAAAGCGUGCGCAGGCGGUUUGGCAAGUCAGAUGUGAAAUCCCCGAGCUCAACUUGGGAACUGCGUUUGAAACUGCCAGACUAGAAUAUGUCAGAGGGGGGUAGAAUUCCACGUGUAGCAGUGAAAUGCGUAGAGAUGUGGAGGAAUACCAAUGGCGAAGGCAGCCCCCUGGGAUAAUAUUGACGCUCAUGCACGAAAGCGUGGGGAGCAAACAAGAGUAGAUACCCUGGUAGUCCACGCCCUAAA
rnacentral:rRNA from 1 species